GCACCCCGAUGAUGCCAGCACUGGGCUCUGACUGCUCUGAAGACGUCCGUGCCCCCUGGGCCUUUGACUCCCAGGGAUCUGAGGGGCCG